rnacentral:rRNA from 1 species
UAAUGAUAAAUUCGACCGUACUGUAAACCGACACAGGUGGGUGAGUCGAGGAGACUAAGGCGUUCGAGAGAACUCUCGUUAAGGAACUAGGCAAAUGAGCCCCGUAACUUCGGGAUAAGGGGCGCCAGCGCAAGCUGGCCGCAGCGAAGCAGCCCAGGCGACUGUUUACCAAAAACACAGGUCUCUGCUAACACGAAAGUGGAUGUAUAGGGGCUGACGCCUGCCCAAUGCCAGUAGGUUAACAGGAGAUGUCAGGAGUAAUCCGAAGCAUUGAAUCGAAGCCCUGGUGAAUGGCGGCCGUAACUCUAACGGUCCUAAGGUAGCGAAAUUCCUUGUCGGCUAAAUACCGACCCGCAUGAAAGGCGUAACGACUUGGGCACUGUCUCAACGAGAAGCUCGGUGAAAUUGUAGCACCCGUGAAGAUGCGGGUUACGCGCAGUAGGGCGGAAAGACCCCGUGGAGCUUUACUACACCCUGUCACUGCGAAUUGGGUGUAGAUGUAGAGAGUAGGUGGGAGCUUAGGCACCAAUGGAACACCACCCUUCUACAUCUGGUUCGCUAACCGUCACCAUUAUCUGGUGACGAGACAAUGACAGGCGGGUAGUUUGACUGGGGCGGUCGCCUCCCCAAAGGUAACGGAGGCGCCUAAAGUUGCACUCAGGCUGGUUGGAAAUCAGCCGUCGAGCGUAUAGGUAUAUAGUGCGAUUGACUGCGAGACAAACAGGUCGAGCAGGGACGAAAGUCGAGCUAAGUGACCCUCUGGUGGUGCGUGGGCACGCCAGGGUUCAUCGGAUAUAAGCUACCCCGGGGAUAACAGGCUGAUCUUGCCCGAGCGCUCACAGCGACGGCAUGGUUUGGCACCUCGAUGUCGGCUCGUCUCAUCCUGGGGCUGUACACGGUCCCAAGGGUUCCGGAGUUCACGGAUUAAAGAGGCACGCGAGCUGGGUUCAGAACGGCGUGAGCCAGUUCGGUCCCUAUCCACUGCGCGCGGAGGAAAUUUGAGAGGACUCGCUCCUAGUACGAGAGGACCGGAGUGAACCGACCUCUGGUGUACCUGUUGUGCCGCCAGGCGCAUACGCAGGGUAGCCACGUCGGGUCGUGAUAAGCGCUGAAAGCAUCUAAGCGCCAAGCACACCUCAAGAUGAGAUUUCCCAUCGAAAGAGUAAGGCCCCCGGAAGACUACCGGGUUGAUAGGUCGCAGGCGUGAGCGCAGUAAUGUGUUAAGCUGAGCGAUACUAAUUGGCCGAGGGCCAU